CGCCCCAAAAGCUAGCCCACCCAAAAACCCCAACAACCCACAUCCCUACCCCUAAAGACAAGACUCAAAAUUAAUUAAACCAUUUUUCCCCCUAAGUACGGGAGACAGAAAAGGACACCUCGGCGCGAUAGAGAAAGUACCGCAAGGGAAAGCUGAAAGAGCUAUGAAAAAGCCCAGUUAAGGCAGGAAAAGCAGAGCCUAGCCCUCGUACCUUUUGCAUCAUGACCUAGCAAGACCCCCUCAAGCAAAAAGACUUUUAGUUUGAAAUCCCGAAAUUAAGCGAGCUACUCCGAGACAGUCUUUUAGGACAAACCCGUCUCUGUGGCAAAAGAGUGGGAAGAACUCCGAGUAGAGGUGAUAGACCUACCGAGCUUAAUAAUAGCUGGUUGCCCAAGAAAUGAAUAGAAGUUCAGCCCUUAUUAAUUCUUCUGCCAAACAAGGCUAAUUGCCCCCGUCCGGCCAUAAAGAAUGUUUUAAGGACCUAGUCAAGAGAGGUACAGCUCUCUUGAAAAAAGACACAACUUUUACAGAAGGCUAAAGAUUAUACUCGUCAAAAACAGUACCAAGGUGGGCCUAAAAGCAGCCAACCCUAAAGAAAGCGUUAAAGCUCAAGUACCUAACAUAUCAAUCCCGAUAAAAUAUCUUAAACCCCUGCCCCCGAUUGGGCCACUCCAUGCAGCCAUGGAAGAGACACUGCUAAUAUGAGUAAUAAGAGGGCCUAGGCCCUCUCCCUGCACCUGUGUAUCUCAGAACGGACCCCGACUGAAAAUUACCCGCCCCCACCAAAGAGGGUAUUGGAAAACCCCCACAAUUAAACUGGAAAACCAACCACACACACACAACGUUAGCCCCACACAGGAGUGCUCAGGGAAAGACUUAAAAAGGAAGAAGGAACUCGGCAAACACAAGCCUCGCCUGUUUACCAAAAACAUCGCCUCUUGCCCACCCAGUAUAAGAGGUCCCGCCUGCCCUGUGACUAAAAGUUUAACGGCCGCGGUAUUUUGACCGUGCGAAGGUAGCGUAAUCACUUGUCUUUUAAAUAGAGACCUGUAUGAAUGGCAUAACGAGGGCUUAUCUGUCUCCUCCCUUUGGUCAAUGAAAUUGAUCUGUUCGUGCAGAAGCGGACAUACCCACAUAAGACGAGAAGACCCUAUGGAGCUUAAGACACAAGGGCAGACCAUGUUAAAGUACCUAAGUAAAUAGGAACAAACCAAGUGCGCCCCUGCUCUCCUGUCUUUGGUUGGGGCGACCGCGGGGGAACAAGAACCCCCCACGUGGAAAGGGGAGCUUACCCUAAAGCAAGACCGACAGGUCUAACAAACAGAAAUUCUGACCAAAAAGAUCCGGCAAAGCCGAUCAACGGACCCAGUUACCCUAGGGAUAACAGCGCAAUCCCCUUCUAGAGCCCAUAUCGACAAGGGGGUUUACGACCUCGAUGUUGGAUCAGGACAUCCUAAUGGUGCAGCCGCUAUUAAGGGUUCGUUUGUUCAACGAUUAAAGUCCUACGUGAUCUGAGUUCAGACCGGAGAAAUCCAGGUCAGUUUCUAUCUAUGAUAAAUGCUCUUUUCUAGUACGAAAGGACCGAGAAGAGAGGGCCCAUGCUUAAAGUAAGCCCUCCCCCCACCUUAUGCUACCCACUAAAUAGGGUAACGGGGCUGUUUAUUUAGUCCAAGAAAAGGACAA
rnacentral:rRNA from 1 species